ACCCGCACAAGCGGUGGAUGAUGUGGAUUAAUUCGAUGCAACGCGAAAACCUUACCUACCCUUGACAUGUCUGGAACCUCGCUGAGAGGCGAGGGUGCCUUCGGGAGCCAGAACACAGGUGCUGCAUGGCUGUCGUCAGCUUGUGUCGUGAGAUGUUGGGUUAAGUCCCGCAACGAGCGCAACCCUUGUCACUAGUUGCCAUCAUUUAGUUGGGCACUCUAGUGAGACUGCCGGUGACAAACCGGAGGAAGGUGGGGAUGACGUCAAGUCCUCAUGGCCCUUAUGGGUAGGGCUUCACACGUCAUACAAUGGUCGGUACAGAGGGUUGCCAAGCCGCGAGGUGGAGCCAAUCCCUUAAAGCCGAUCGUAGUCCGGAUCGUAGUCUGCAACUCGACUACGUGAAGUCGGAAUCGCUAGUAAUCGCGGAUCAGCAUGCCGCGGUGAAUACGUUCCCGGGCCUU
rnacentral:rRNA from 1 species